rnacentral:rRNA from 1 species
AUUGAACGCUGGCGGCAUGCCUUACACAUGCAAGUCGAACGGUAACGCGGGGCAACCUGGCGACGAGUGGCGAACGGGUGAGUAAUGCAUCGGAACGUGCCCAGUAGUGGGGGAUAGCCCGGCGAAAGCCGGAUUAAUACCGCAUACGACCUACGGGUGAAAGGGGGGGAUCGCAAGACCUCUCGCUACUGGAGCGGCCGAUGUCAGAUUAGGUAGGUGGUGGGGUAAAGGCCCACCAAGCCGACGAUCUGUAGCUGGUCUGAGAGGACGACCAGCCACACUGGGACUGAGACACGGCCCAGACUCCUACGGGAGGCAGCAGUGGGGAAUUUUGGACAAUGGGCGCAAGCCUGAUCCAGCCAUGCCGCGUGCGGGAAGAAGGCCUUCGGGUUGUAAACCGCUUUUGUCAGGGAAGAAAUCUUUUGAGUUAAUACCUCGGAAGGAUGACGGUACCUGAAGAAUAAGCACCGGCUAACUACGUGCCAGCCGCCGCCGUAA